CAGCCGCGGUAAUACGUAGGGGGCAAGCGUUGUCCGGAUUUACUGGGUGUAAAGGGCGCGUAGGCGGGCUGGCAAGUCAGAUGUGAAAUCCCGGGGCUCAACCCCGGGACUGCAUUUGAAACUGUCGGUCUUGAGUGUGGGAGAGGUAAGCGGAAUUCCUAGUGUAGCGGUGAAAUGCGUAGAUAUUAGGAGGAACACCAGUGGCGAAGGCGGCUUACUGGACGAUAACUGACGCUGA
rnacentral:rRNA from 1 species